GUGAGCUGGUGUACGAAUGCUGCUACGGCAGAGGAAACUCCUCUCUCCAUGUAGAAUUUGUGAUCUGGUGAUGGAUAGUCAGAGAUGGCUGGUAACAGAGUAGAAAAAAUCCUAGUUGGAGUGUACGAUGAUGACAAAAUCUGAGAUUUCCAAUAGUGGAAUGAAAAAUCUGUCCCACAAGGAGCAAGGCCAAGCAGAACUAUAGGUUUCUACACCUGGUUCAGGUAGGCUGCAAAGCGAAAUAUCGUAUAAAACAGAAAGAGGGUUACGGCCAGCACAC
rnacentral:RNase_P_RNA from 1 species